UACAGAGGUCUCAAGCGUUGUUCGGAUUCAUUGGGCGUAAAGGGUGUGUAGGUGGCGCCGUAAGUCGGGUGUGAAAUUUCGAGGCUUAACCUCGAAACUGCAUUCGAUACUGCGGUGCUUGAGGACUGGAGAGGAGACUGGAAUUCAUGGUGUAGCGGUGAAAUGCGUAGAGAUCAUGAGGAAGACCAGUGGCGAAGGCGGGUCUCUGGGCAGUUCCUGACACUGAGACACGAAAGCCAGGGGAGUGAACGGG
rnacentral:rRNA from 1 species